rnacentral:ncRNA from 1 species
UAGAUGCAGAGACACACAAAUCCUAACAGGAGCUCAGGGAUGAUAGAAACCUCCUGCAGAGAAGGGUAGAAGCUCACUUGAUCAUGAUUUUCUUUAUGAAUGCAGACCAUGAAAGUGGGGUCUCAUGAUCCUUCUGACCUUUGGAGUUUUAAUCAGAAG